rnacentral:rRNA from 1 species
CCUACGGGAGGCAGCAGUAGGGAAUUUUCGUCAAUGGGCGCAAGCCUGAACGAGCAAUGCCGCGUGAACGAGGAAGGUCUUCGGAUCGUAAAGUUCUGUUGAAGGGGAAAAAGAGCGGAGAGAGGAAAUGGUCUCCGAUUGAUAUUACCCUUCGAGGAAGUCACGGCUAACUACGUGCCAGCAGCCGCGGUAAUACGUAGGUGGCGAGCGUUAUCCGGAAUGAUUGGGCGGAAAGGGUGCGUAGGCGGCCUGCUAAGUCGGGGGUGAAAGGUACCGGCUCAACCGGUACAGGCUCUGGAAACUGGCGGGCUAGAGAGCAGGAGAGGGCGGUGGAACUCCAUGUGUAGCGGUAAAAUGCGUAGAUAUAUGGAAGAACACCAGUGGCGAAGGCGGCCGCCUGGCCUGUUACUGACGCUGAGGCACGAAAGCGUGGGGAGCAAAUAGGAUUAGAUACCCCAGUAGUC